CCCUUAGGUGUUCUGGGCCGCACGCGCGCUACACUGAUGCAUUCAACGAGCCUAUCCUUGACCGACAGGUCCGGGUAAUCUUUGAAUCUGCAUCGUGACGGGGAUAGAUUAUUGCAAUUAUUAAUCUUCAACGAGGAAUGCCUAGUAGGCGCAAGUCAUCAGCUUGCGUCGAUUACGUCCCUGCCCUUUGUACACACCGCCCGUCGCUCCUACCGAUUGGGUGUGCUGGUGAAAUGUUCGGAUCGGCCGUUUGUCGCGGUUUCCGCGUCAUGUGGCUGAGAAGUUCAUUAACCCCUCCCACCUAGAGGAAGGAGAAGUCGUAACA
rnacentral:rRNA from 1 species